GAAUUUUGGACAAUGGGCGAAAGCCUGAUCCAGCAAUGCCGCGUGCAGGAUGAAGGCCUUCGGGUUGUAAACUGCUUUUGUACGGAACGAAAAGCAGUCGGCUAAUACCCGGUUGUUCUGACGGUACCCAAAGAAUAAGCACCGGCUAACUUCGUGCCAGCAGCCGCGGUAAUACGUAGGGUGCAAGCGUUAAUCGGAAUUACGGGGCGUAAAGCGUGCGCAGGCGGUUUUGUAAGACAGAGGUGAAAGCCCCGGGCUCCACCUGGGAACUGCCUUUGUGACUGCAAGGCUAGAGUACGGCAGAGGGGGGUGGAAUUCCGCGUGUAGCAGUGAAAUGCGUAGAUAUGCGGAGGAACACCGAUGGCGAAGGCAACCCCCUGGGCCUGUACUGACGCUCAUGCACGAAAGCGUGGGGAGCAAACAGG
rnacentral:rRNA from 1 species